GAGAGAGGAGAUGAGUGUGUGUGAGUGUGAGAAUGUGUGUUCCUGGCCGGAGGAGAGGGGGUGGAAGCGUGAAGGGUGGUUGGAAAACCCCUUCUAAUUUUGUGCAGCCACCCCGGCCCCAGAAGGAGAAGGGAACGCGAGAGCAGGCACAAAGGUCGUUGCCUUGACUAAUGUGAAGAGACUGAACCACUAGCAGAGACUUUUCUCCUUGGCAGCCAACAACCUGCAGCCAGGAAGGCGGGCGGGGGAGGAAACCCCGAGGAGGCGCUCCCGGCCGCCUCUUUGCUGAGAUAGCAGGAGCGGCAGCCUGCGGAGCCACGGGCACAGCGUCACCGAGCCGGUGCGGGUGCGGGGCGCUCGGGAAGGCGCAGAGGCCCGGAGGCGCUGGUGCGGCGGAGUCGCCCGCGCUGCAGGACGCCGCGCCGGGGCCGCCGGAGCGCCACGGGCCGGUCGAGCUGCAGGAAGAGCCGGCGGCCGCGCGCUGCCCGGCGGCGCCGUGCCUCGAGCACCUGCUUGGAGCCCAGCGGGAGAUUGAAAGAACCUGGAGAGCUCGGCCAGUCGUUCCGUUCUUUACAAAAAACAGCCAGAGCCGGGAGAAGGCAACCAUUUCAGUACUCCGCGGGACUGGGAAUUUGCUUCUCACAAUUUGGGGGAGCCCGAGUAGAGGUCAGAGGGGCAGGCAAGGAUCCCGAAAAGGAGCCGAGGGCUGUGAAAGUGGUCACCCCCUUCUCUAUUGCUGGAAAAUCUCCUUGACAGGUUUUAGCACUUUGAGGCUGCUGCAGCUGGUGUCGUCGGAAAAGGGGGUGGGAAAAAUAAGAGAGGGGGCGGGGAGAGCAGGGAGACACAGCCAAGAGCCAGGAGCAGCGCCUCCUCGCCUGCCAAUCCAGGCACCUGUGCACCAAGCCACUGCACCGAGGAGGACCCCACUCCGGGAGAACCCCGGGCUUGAAGCCACGGACAGUCAGCCCCUGCGCAGCGAGUUCUCACCGGAGGGACCUGCAACCGCCCACUCCAACGUCGCCUGCAGCCGCGAGAGCGCACGGCCCCUCCGAACCGCCCGCUGCUUCCUGGGUCCCCGGGGAUUCUCGCCCAGGAGAGGCGCGGCAGCGGGCACGGGGCUUUACGGAGUUGGGUGCAAGAUUCGCCUUUUCGGCUCGUCUCUUCUCCUCCCAGGAUUUAUUGUCUGUGGAGCCUUCUGGGGUGGGGAGGGAGCUGCGCCUCCGCCACCGCCGCUGCCGCCUCUGCUGCUGCGGUCGCUUGCGCGGCGCGCAAGGCGGGCGGAAGCUGGGGAGUGGAUGCGCUCCUGCCUCCCCCGCCAGCGCUUCGGGCUUCCCAUCGGCCGCUUCCCGCGGAAACCUCUCCAGCUGUCCACCUGAAGGGCACCAGCAUCAUGGUCUAACGUGGCAGCUGCCUGGAAUCCCCUCUUUCUCCUUCUCUUCUCCUCCUUCACCCCUCCUCUCCUCCGAGGUCCCUCGUGCCCACUCUACUGCGGACCCCCGGACACUUUAAGGAAUAACCCUCGGCAGCUGCACGAUUCACUUUCUCCGGAACCUCAUG
rnacentral:lncRNA from 1 species